rnacentral:rRNA from 1 species
UACGAAGGGAGCGAGCGUUGUUCGGAAUCACUGGGCUUAAAGCGUGCGUAGGUGGAUUGGUAAGUAAGGAGUGAAAUCCCAGGGCUUAACCCUGGAACUGCUCUUUAGACUGCCCGUCUGGAAUUCGGAAGAGGUUGGUGGAACUCCCAGUGUAGAGGUGAAAUUCGCAGAUAUUGGGAAGAACACCGGUGGCGAAGGCGACCAACUGGUCCGACGUUGACACUGAGGCACGAAAGCGUGGGUAGCAAACAGG